UUAGCGGAACGCUACAGUGUUUCCACACAAGUGCCGUUACUUCUGCAACCGAGGAUCUGUACCAGUGCUCUACGGAUAUUACGAGCAAUUCACGCCGUGCUGGGAUGGCACGACGGAGCGCAAAACAGGAACAUGUAUCUAUAGCCGUGUCACAAAGCCAUCUAUUAGGUGUGACACAAAUCAGCCCGCCGUAACAUCUCCACCAAAAACAGCUACGACGACGGAGCUGCCCUCCGAUAUAUAUGAGUAAAAUCACACGUGGCGUGCCAUAUCGAAAAAUAAAUAAAUAAAUAAAUGUG